rnacentral:rRNA from 1 species
UGGGGAAUAUUGGACAAUGGGCGAAAGCCCGAUCCAGCCACGCCGCGUGUGUGAAGAAGGUCUUCGGAUUGUAAAGCACUUUAAGUUGGGAGGAAGGGCAGUAAGCUAAUACCUUGCUGUUUUGACGUUACCGACAGAAUAAGCACCGGCUAACUCUGUG